AAAAUCUAAAAAUACAAAUGAGUAAAAGGGAAAAUGCUCCAUAAUCCCACAAUUAAAAUGUGUCUACUCUGCCUUUUUUUCUAUACGUAUCUACAUAUUUUUUUUAUGAAAAUGGAAUCUUUCUGUACACUGCAUUUUGUCACUUUAUUUCUCAUCUGCCUCCGUCCUAAACUAUUCCCAUGUCAUCGAGUAUGUUUUCUCAUCCGUCUUGCCGGCUGCCUUCCGUGUGAGCGCGUGCCAGGACUGUUUACCUUCCCUGCUGCUGAGCACCUUCAGGACUCUUCCAUUCUCCCUGCUUUUGUGACCGGACGGUGAUGAACGUCUUCCUGGGGACCUACAACUUCUGCUUUUCUUAGGGGGAACAGUGCCAGAUGCUAGCUGUAGCUGAGGCUUGAGAACCCCUGCCUUCGUGGGUCCUUCGUGGAACUGGAGGGCAGAACAGAAGCAGACAAGGAAAGAGAAGAUGGGCUGAGCCCAGCGGCAGCUCCUGUGAUCAGGACAGGAGGCGGCCCAGUGUUUCGUUAGUUCGAAUCCUGGGCGCGGACAUGGCACUGUUCAUCAAACCACGCUGAGGCAGCGUCCCACAUGCCACAACUAGAAGGACCCACAACAAAGAAUAUACAACUAUGUACUGGAUGGCUUUGGGGAGAAAAAAAAGGAAAAAUAAAAUAAAAUCUUUAAAUUCUUAAAAAAAAAAAAAAA
rnacentral:lncRNA from 1 species